CUAUUAGGUUGAUGCAAAAGUAAUUGCAGUUUUUGCCAUUACUUUCAAAUAGCAAAAACGGCAAUUACUUUUGCACUAAGCUAAUAUUU
rnacentral:miRNA from 10 species